CCGCCGGCGACCGGCGCACGGGUGAGUAACACGUAUGCAACCUGGCCGUGACAGAUGGAUAACCGGGAGAAAUCCCGCCUAAUACAACAUAAUGCCGGGAGGGGACAUCCCCUGCCGGCCAAAGGGGGCGACCCCGGUCACGGAUGGGCAUGCGGCGCAUUAGGUAGUUGGUGGGGCAACGGCCCACCAAGCCGACGAUGCGUUGGGGUUCUGAGAGGAAGGUCCCCCACAUUGGAACUGAGACACGGUCCAAACUCCUACGGAAGGCAGCAG
rnacentral:rRNA from 1 species